rnacentral:rRNA from 1 species
UGGGGAAUUUUGGACAAUGGGCGCAAGCCUGAUCCAGCCAUGCCGCGUGUCUGAAGAAGGCCUUCGGGUUGUAAAGGACUUUUGUCAGGGAAGAAAAGGGCGGGGUUAAUACCCCUGUCUGAUGACGGUACCUGAAGAAUAAGCACCGGCUAACUACGUGCCAGCAGCCGCGGUAAUACGUAGGGUGCGAGCGUUAAUCGGACUUACUGGGCGUAAAGCGGGCGCAGACGGUUACUUAAGCAGGAUGUGAAAUCCCCGGGCUCAACCUGGGAACUGCGUUCUGAACUGGGUGACUAGAGUGUGUCAGAGGGAGGUAGAAUUCCACGUGUAGCAGUGAAAUGCGUAGAGAUGUGGAGGAAUACCGAUGGCGAAGGCAGCCUCCUGGGAUAACACUGACGUUCAUGCCCGAAAGCGUGGGUAGCAAACA